UACCAGCACCCCGAGUGGUCGGGACGAUUAUUGGGCCUAAAGCAUCCGUAGCCGGCCUUACAAGUCCCCCGUUAAAUCCAACUGCUUAACAGUUGGGCUGCGGAGGAUACUAUAAGACUAGGAGGCAGGAGAGGCAAGCGGUACUCAGUGGGUAGGGGUAAAAUCCGUUGAUCCAUUGAAGACCACCAGUGGCGAAGGCGGCUUGCCAGAAUGCGCUCGACGGUGAGGGAUGAAAGCUGGGGGAGCAAACCGG
rnacentral:rRNA from 1 species